rnacentral:rRNA from 1 species
UACGUAGGUGGCAAGCGUUGUCCGGAAUUAUUGGGCGUAAAGCGCGCGCAGGCGGUCCUUUAAGUCUGAUGUGAAAGCCCACGGCUCAACCGUGGAGGGUCAUUGGAAACUGGGGGACUUGAGUGCAGGAGAGAAGAGUGGAAUUCCACGUGUAGCGGUGAAAUGCGUAGAGAUGUGGAGGAACACCUGUGGCGAAGGCGCCUUGCUGGCCGAUUUCUGACGCUGAGGCGCGAAAGCGUGGGGAGCAAACAGG